rnacentral:rRNA from 1 species
GACGAACGCUGGCGGCGUGCUUAACACAUGCAAGUCGAACGGAAAGGCCCUGCUUUUGUGGGGUGCUCGAGUGGCGAACGGGUGAGUAACACGUGAGUAACCUGCCCUUGACUUUGGGAUAACUUCAGGAAACUGGGGCUAAUACCGGAUAGGAGCUCCUGCUGCAUGGUGGGGGUUGGAAAGUUUCGGCGGUUGGGGAUGGACUCGCGGCUUAUCAGCUUGUUGGUGGGGUAGUGGCUUACCAAGGCUUUGACGGGUAGCCGGCCUGAGAGGGUGACCGGCCGGAGGGGAGACGGGAGCCGGCACACGCGAGGAGGGGGGGCGGAAGGGGAGAAUAGUGCAGGGGGGGGGGAGGCGGGGUGGCGAGACGCGGCGUGCGGGCGGUCGGCCGUGGGGUUGUAACCGUGUGGCGCGGGGGACGAGGCGGGGGUGUGGGUAAGGGGAAAAGGAUCACCGGCUAACGACGUGACAGCGGCGGGGGUAAUAAGCGGAAGAGCACACGUCGGCGC